AUAUAUGGGCUUAGAUGUUUUCUUAGACGUGCAUUUAGGAGGUCACAGCAUCAUGAAGGUUCAUCAAGUGAUAAGUAUUGUAUCAGGCAGUUCUGAACAUCACUGGUUUUCAAAAAACGCCAUGCAGUGCAAGAUUCCGGAUUAUUUGGAAUCUUCAUGCUGAUGCAGCAGCGGAAGCUGCUGGAUCACAUCUUUGCCCCGGGUGCCGUUGUCUCCCCUGUGUUCUGUUGUGCUUGCUUAGCUGACUAAAAUUCUGGAAAACUACAGUGUAUAAUCUACAGAACCUCUCUCUCUAAGAGGACCAAGCUGCCUGAACAAUAGUGGCUAUCCUUUUGAUGAUAACACAGGGAGAGAUAAUGUACGAGUACAGCGCAACCAUGUUGCUGAUGGGUUUCAGUUCCGUCUCAAGAAUGGGCUAAUGAGCAUGGAGAUUGGUCAGAAGGACAGUGCUAUAAUCAACGAUCCAUUUAUGCUCAACAAUGUAUUAUUGGUGUUUGCUAGCAAGCAAGACAUGGUUAGUAAUGAAAGGUUAAUUAUAUGUGAGCUAUGGAAGAAACAUGUUUAUUAUCUGACAGGUUAAUUCUUAUAACUAUGUAUGGAUUUAGCUAGCGUAACAUGGUUCUUCCGGUAGACACAAGGUUAGUAAUGACUUGGAAUUCUUGACUGUCUUUUUUAUUCUAGCUAGCAGAAGUAUGAAGCACUACUAGCAUAGUUGAGGUGUCCUAACAACUAUUGUCAUUUAUUUGGAAUCUAGGACUAUUUGAUUCUAGCUAGCAGAAGUAUGAAGGACUACUAGCAUAGUUGAGGUAUCCUAACAACUAUUGUCCUUUAUUUGGAAUCUAGGAUGAAUGGAUUGAGUAAAUUUACCUGUAAAUGAAUUAUACUAUGGAAAAAAGUCUUCAGCAGAACUUCCUUGCAGAGAGGCCUGAAGGAGUUUAAGGAUGGUACAUGAUCAAAAUUAGAGACCAUCUCGCGAAAUAAAAUUAUCCACUCCUGAAAUUACAACAGCAUUAGUUUCUUCUUUUUGUUGAGAAACACCAUAUAGUAAGGAACAAAAAAUUGACAGAAUUUACACCAUUUCUUUCAAAUAUUUGUUGAAUACGGGCUUUUAUGCAAACAUUGCUGGAAUUACUCUCUUCAGGUUUAACAAUGGAUGUUUUAAGUGAGCACUCAUGGUCAUUAUUCAUAAUUGAUGAUGCAGAGAAGCCCAGGAACGAUUGAAGAGCCCUGGACGCGCUUUUCCAAAAAAAAUUAACUCCAAGUUCAAUGGGUGCAUCUGGUUGGUCUUCUUGUAGCUCUCAACAUCAGCCUCAUGUUCAGUUAUCUUAGGAGUAUAAACCUCAAAUCUAAUAGGGGUAGAUCAGCAGCUAAAGGUAUACUAAAAUUGUUGGAGUAUGCGACUCUGUUCAGCGAUGGCCUUGAUGGAGCUUUUCUGAUGGUCUUGCUGGGUAUCCAAGUGAUAAGCGAUAAGUUUUUGUCCUUGCUGCAAAAAGAAGAAAAGGUAAAUUACUUGACAUCAAUGCCUUUUGGACUUAGUUCCAGAAUGAUGAUUUGUUGUGUUCAACUGCAACAUCUUCUACCCUCACCUGAUAAAAAUUUGAGGUUGCAUGUUAUAUAAAAGAGCCCCCGGUUAUAUUUGAGACAAUUUGGUAGUCAAAAGGAAUCUGGCAUGGUUGCACUACCACUUUCUAGAUUGAGGUUUUGUUUUUUUGUUUGUUCUAAUUAGCAGCUUUUGAGUCUGUUCACCGUAACAUGAGAUUUAUGCCACUUUGAAUCAGUUAACCAUGCUCACGGUAAGUUAAAUUGGGUGAUUUGCAUUUAUGAUGUUUAUUCUGUGUAAUCUAGCUUUUUUCCUUUGGUUUAUGGAAAUGAUAAAAUAAGAAAGAUGGAAGAAUUUAUGUUUCUCAUCUCACUUUUAUUUUAGUGUUGCAAUCAGCCUUUGGGGUUAUUUUGUCCUCCAAAAGAUAUAUGAGGCAAUCAAGUUUUUUCC